rnacentral:rRNA from 1 species
AUACUGCAAGUCGAGCGAACUGAUUAGAAGCUUGCUUCUAUGACGUUAGCGGCGGACGGGUGAGUAACACGUGGGCAACCUGCCUGUAAGACUGGGAUAACUUCGGGAAACCGAAGCUAAUACCGGAUAACAUCAUUCCUUGCAUAAGGAAUGAUUGAAAGAUGGUUUCGGCUAUCACUUACAGAUGGGCCCGCGGUGCAUUAGCUAGUUGGUGAGGUAACGGCUCACCAAGGCAACGAUGCAUAGCCGACCUGAGAGGGUGAUCGGCCACACUGGGACUGAGACACGGCCCAGACUCCUACGGGAGGCAGCAGUAGGGAAUCUUCCGCAAUGGACGAAAGUCUGACGGAGCAACGCCGCGUGAGUGAUGAAGGCUUUCGGGUCGUAAAACUCUGUUGUUAGGGAAGAACAAGUAUGAGAGUAACUGCUCGUACCUUGACGGUACCUAACCAGAAAGCCACGGCUAACUACGUGCCAGCAGCCGCGGUAAUACGUAGGUGGCAAGCGUUAUCCGGAAUUAUUGGGCGUAAAGCGCGCGCAGGCGGUUUCUUAAGUCUGAUGUGAAAGCCCACGGCUCAACCGUGGAGGGUCAUUGGAAACUGGGGAACUUGAGUGCAGAAGAGAAAAGCGGAAUUCCACGUGUAGCGGUGAAAUGCGUAGAGAUGUGGAGGAACACC